ensembl:lncRNA
UCUAAUCCUGAUUUCAAGGUUUGAAUUAUGGCCAGUGAUGGAGGAAAAUGCAAACAAGGCCUCUGAUUUUUUCUGCUACAUCUAUGGGUGUUUUACUAAAUCCAAACAGUGACAGAAAAUUAAAAAUGGCUCUGAUGAAGCACAGAGGGCUGUUUGAACUUCUGGAAGCGCAGGGGCAGUUCCUUUUAGACUCCAAAUUCCAGUCCGGUUUGGUUCCAGAAGAUGACCGCAUUGACCCUGCUUCUAUAUCUACACGUGUCGCCAUAGAAACCAUGUUAGAAGAACUGGCCCCAAACCUGUGGGAGGAUGAUCUUGACAGACUGGUCGACUUCGGUCACCUGAUCAGCCCAGAACUAGAGAUGAAAGUCCUACCAGCUUUACUCCACGGUGAGGCAGUAAAUAUCGAUAUGUCCUACAUGGUGUAUGUGGCGUGUGAGAUGGGGUUGCUCACAGAGCAGGAGAAGUUCAGGAUCAUCUGUUGCAUGCUGGGACUGGAGUUGCCGGUGUGGCAUCAAGACUGCACCUUUGCUUUGGUUCAGAAAUCUCUGUGUGACAGACUACAGCACUCCGGAGGGCUUGUGAGAAUGCCUUUACCAACAGGCCUCGGAAGAGCAGAAAUCUUCAACGACAAUGAUGAAGGCACUCUGUUCCGGGCGUACGAGAAGUGGUGCGAUGAACUAUGCACUGGUUCACUUCAAUGAGACCUCAGCCAAUGUUUACAUAUAGGGGAGCCUCUUAGCUUUAAGAAUUUAUACGCAUGUUUUAUUCUAUGAUAGAUUUUGUUUCCUUUUUAUUUUGUAUACAUUAUGGGCAUUUAAGUGUUUUACAUUUAAAACAAUUGCUUCUCAUUUCUAUACUUGCCAUUUUUGUAAAUGGCCGGGAAUAGAAGAAGGCUGACUUGAUAUGUGAAGAUUUUUCUUUAGUUGUGUUUAAGGGUUUCUUUCCCAUCAUUUCAUAUUUGAUAAAGGGACAUUUCGGUUAAUAAUGAAAUCAUUUAUUAAAAUGUAAAAAAGUCUGCCUGAUGUGUUGGAUGUAAUACAUGAAUGUUUAUAAUAAACAAUUUUCUUAUUAACA